UCACAACUGCAGCCUCGCCCUAACGCCGAGGUAGCCAAGACUACUCACCGUAACACUCUUGUGACAAGUUCUCUGCCUGAAAACCACUCACCGCUAGGAUGCCUCUGGGCCCCCGUGAAUCCAACUCUGGGCUCAACUCCCAUGUGCCCAGCUGACCUCCUGCCUCUCCGGGAACGAAGCUGCGCGCAGCCCUCCGGGACCCCGGACACUGACGCGCGACCUAGACCUCUCGUCUCCCCUCCUCCCGCAGCUCCGUCCGGUUUCCUGGAAUGAAGCUGCCUUCGGAAUUCGCUAGAAGAGAAGCAGGGACGAGCACGGGCUCUCCUGACCACUGACACUCGGGGCAGUUAGGAUGCUAGCUGGGAACUGCCCCGCGGGCAGGCAAGGAGCACGGUGCCCGGUGACACCGGUUCCACUGCUGCCGGUCCUCCACCUCCCUAGUCGUGAACGCUGGAACAGUGAUGACAAAGCACUGAAAGCGCAUUUGGGUUUUUUUAAGGUUUUGUUUUCCUCAUAAAAUCAAGAAUAAAAAAUUA